GACGAACGCUGGCGGCGUGCCUAACACAUGCAAGUCGAGCGGGAUCCAUCCAGUAGCAAUACUGGGGAAGAUCUAGCGGCGAACGGGUGAGUAACACGUGAGAAACCUGCCCCGAAGUCUGGGAUAACCCGAGGAAACUCGAGCUAAUACCGGAUGCCCUCCUCUGGUCGCAUGGCCGGUUGAGGAAAGAUUCAUCGCUUCGGGAGGGUCUCGCGGCCUAUCAGCUAGUUGGUGGGGUAACGGCCCACCAAGGCGUCGACGGGUAGCUGGUCUGAGAGGACGAUCAGCCACACUGGGACUGAGACACGGCCCAGACUCCUACGGGAGGCAGCAGUGGGGAAUCUUGCGCAAUGGGCGAAAGCCUGACGCAGCAACGCCGCGUGCGGGAUGAAGGCCUUCGGGUUGUAAACCGCUUUCAGGAGGGACGAAAUUGACGGUACCUCCAGAAGAAGCCCCGGCCAACUACGUGCCAGCAGCCGCCGUAACAC
rnacentral:rRNA from 1 species